rnacentral:ncRNA from 1 species
UCCAUUGUGAGGUGGAAUCUGAAGGAAGCUGUAAGCAAAUCUCCGGUCCGACGGACAGAAAUCACAUAUAAGGCUAGGCUACGAGAGAUAAGUUGGCAAGGAACAACGAAGUCUAAUAACUAUCACAUUUGUAGUAGCAGAGUAAAUGUGGUGUUGUUCGUCAAAUUAAUUGAAGCUC